CCAUCCUCUCGGCUCUUACCGGGUUACAUCCUGUCAUUGCUGGCUGAGGGAGAGAUGGAGGCAGCGCAGAGCUCCUGGAGCGCUCAGCCCAGCUGCACCUCUCCGUGCGCGUAGAGGGAUCUCUCUGCAAUCAUCCCAAAAGCACAUCACCAUCCCCAGGGAACUGGUCUGUGCAUAAUAUGGAGUUUCGCUCUAAAUCCUGAACCUGAAAUAACAAUGGCCAACCCUGUUCCAUUCAGAAACAAGCAAUUUGUUUAUAAUAAGGAAGAAGAAUAAAGACUGGUAAGACGGUCAUGAAAAUAACCAGCCUGCUACAGGGUAAUCUGAUUUUGACAUCAGUCGAUGUGUGAUUUUCUUCCAGAGCUGGUUCACUAACUGUAAGUAACUUGAAAAGACAGUCAAAUGUACCAUAGAAUUUUCUUUCUCCCUUGAGAGAGAGAGAGAGAGAGAGACAAGCUGAAACCACAUCAAAGCGAGUCACAUCAUUUUACUAGAAAUGU